UCCUCCAUUCCAGUUUACUAUAUGUCCAACAUACUUUUCACCAAAAAUUUUAUUGCCAAGCUCACUGCGGUUAUUAGGAACUUCUGGUGGACUGGUAUAAGAGAAGAAACAAAUUCUAGGAGCCUUUGCUUGAGAGCUUGGAAAGACAUUUGUACUCCAAAAAAUGAGGGCGGACUUGGUAUAAGAAAUCUCCAAGCAAUGAAUCAGAGCCUCAUUCUUAUGGCAGCAUGGAGGAUUGCUGAUCAACCAAAUGAUUUCUUACAUGCGGUACUCAAAUCCAAAUACUUCCCAGACUCUUCCAUUUGGCGCCCAAAUUCUAAUGCUCCCAAAUCAGCCUUUUAG
rnacentral:rRNA from 1 species